GAAAUGAGCAUCUCCUAGCCAUAGCUAUGCCCUGUCCCAUUUUUCUUAAUAACAGAGUCGAUGUGCUGAGACAAUGCAAGGUGGUGAUUUAUAAUAAUAAUAAUAAUAAUAAUAAUAAUGGAUUGGUAAAACCAAGUAAUUUAAUCUGAGUGGGCUGUUCUAAUCCUGAUCCAGCUAUGGAAAGAUGGCAUGUUGGUGUACAUAUUGGACUGAUGGGACUGAAAUUGGGACAGAAGUGGUUGGUGUCAAGGUUCGAAUUUGAGGAAGAGACAAACGACUGCAUGGUCUCUCAGUAGAUGUCAGAAUAGUGAUUUUAUUAUACAUAUGUACAUAUGGGGAAGAUGAGCGUCACAAGUCUUCACGAGCAAAUCUCCCAAGAACAACCCUAACACAAGGCUUUUAUUGCAAUGAUGACGUCAAAUCACCUGAUAAGUAUCAGUCAGUUCACCCUUCUAUGUCCUUGUAUGGCUAAGAACAACAACAUGUUCCAGAUGUUUCCACUCCUCUGUAUUCUGGGAACAUAACCAAUAGUGUGUAGAAUGUGUAGUUGUGUGAGAGUGUCCGUUUCCGGCCAACAAAAGUUCACCGUGUCCUCAUAUGACUUUACUGCGGGCUGACUGGACCCCCAGCUAAACUGGUGCUCUACUAACUGAUAGAGUAUUGUGAUACAUGAUAAUAUUGAUGAUAAGCUGAUGCGGACUAAUGAAGUAAUAAUGAAAUAAUGACAGUGCUUUAUGAAUGAUAUACAGUGACAGUAAAAUAAGAUGUUUUCCACAAUAUUGGGAAGGGGCUAACAAUAACAAGUGACCAUACUGAAUGUAGCUGAUGAUAAAAUGUUUGUGUGGGUUGCCAUGACAACACCAGAAGCGUGUCUGAGGUUGUUGUAUUGUUUUCUAUUUGUUUUCCUGUAUUUGGGACUCAUGUUUGUGUACACUUAUAGUAGAAAGAGAUAAUCUAUGAGUCCAGUGAUACAUUUUUAUAAAAAAUGUUUCUGUUAAAAAUUAUUCUGAAGUAGUCACUUCCUGUGAGUUGCGGGAACUGGAAGUUGUGCGCCGGAGAGACAAGACAACGAUAACACAGAACAUGGAAUCUACAACUUCUCUACUGCUGGUUUUACAAGGCGUACACAGUAAAAACAUGCUGGCUAAUUUGUUAAGCACUUGUGCACUUUGUGAAAAGUAAUAACUGGUUGACAUGGAUGUCGUAUGUGCUCUUAAUAUUAUUUUACUUGUUUCUAGUUUUCACAGUGCUUCAUGAUUGUGAGAGGAAUAAAAAAGAAUUGUGGACAUCAGUACGAAGCGUGGAUUCUUUUGACCAGAGUUGAUACACUGAAUUUCCUCUAAGACUUUAAAAUAAGUUUCAGUGUGUGGCUGUAACUCAGGUAAUAGACCAGGUUGGUAGGUAUCUUGCCCAAGAUACUCAUAGUCAUUGGUAGGUAUGUUGCCCAAGAUACCCAUGUUGCUAAUGAUUCAUCUAUGUGUAAAGGAUAGAUAAUGAUAACAUCAAGGGCGUAGAUUUGGCAUGGACAGAAAGGACAUGUCCCCACCAAUAUCCAGCAAUUAUUGAAUUGUCCCCACCUAUAAUUUGACCUCUUCGAGUAAAGAAAAACAAACCCGAUAGAAAGAAAAAAAAAGAUCUCAUUCACCCAGCGGUGCAGAAAGAGUUAAAUUACGUUCUCUACUGGAGUCCUACCUCAUGUGACAAAUAUGGCCAAUGUGAUUGGCUGUGCCUUUCAUGGCCAUACAUGCCAACACUCCCGAUUUUUCUGGGAGAAUCCUGAAUUUCAAUGCCCCUCCUGAAAAUCUCCCAGAGCCGCCAUUCUCCCCAAUUUCUCCUGAUUUUCUACCCGGACAACAAAAUUGAAAAACCAUAUCCCAGGUUGGCAAGUAUGUGCUAGGCUUUGGCCCACAUCAGUCUAAAAUUGUAUGUAACAAUGAAUAACGUGAUGCCAUGUCCACCAGGAG
ensembl:lncRNA